AGAGUUUGAUCAUGGCUCAGAUUGAACGCUGGCGGAAAUGCUUUACACAUGCAAGUCGAACGGCAGCGACGGGGCAACCUGGUGGCGAGUGGCGAACGGGUGAGUAAUACAUCGGAACGUACCCUGAAGUGGGGGAUAACGUAGCGAAAGUUACGCUAAUACCGCAUAUUCUGUGAGCAGGAAAGAGGGGGAUCGCAAGACCUCUUGCUUUAGGAGCGGCCGAUGUCGGAUUAGCUAGUUGGUGAGGUAAAGGCUCACCAAGGCGACGAUCCGUAGCGGGUCUGAGAGGAUGAUCCGCCACACUGGGACUGAGACACGGCCCAGACUCCUACGGGAGGCAGCAGGUGGGGUAAUUUUGGACAAUGGGCGCAAGCCUGAUCCAGCCAUGCCGCGUGAGUGAAGAAGGCCUUCGGGUUAGUAAAGCUCUUUCGGUGGGAAGAAAUUGCUUCGGUUAAUACCUGGAGUAGAUGACGGUACCCGCAUAAGAAGCACCGGCUAACUACGUG
rnacentral:rRNA from 1 species